UGUGAAUAGAUGUUCAGUGUGAAGAAUAUGGUAUUUGACACUCUUUGUAUAUAUUAAACAUGCUAUUGUGUAAUGGAAAUGAUCAAAUAAAGUUAUUUAUGCAACAGUCCUUGCAUUCAAACACCUUAUUUGUAUUUUUCUUGUUCAUGCUUGAGCAUCAGCCUCAGGAUAAGCAAAUUUCAAAGGAUUUGUUAGGGCAUAUUGACCCAACUAUAUUGGGUCAAUAGGAAAGAUUCAAACUCCCACAGCCGUGACAGUGUAGAGGGGAGAUCCACUAGUAAAAUGUGCUAGAAUAUCUAAGGGAGGUGA